rnacentral:rRNA from 1 species
CCUACGGGAGGCAGCAGUGAGGAAUAUUGGUCAAUGGCCGCAAGGCUGAACCAGCCAAGUCGCGUGAGGGAUGACGGUCCUAUGGAUUGUAAACCUCUUUUGUCAGGGAGCAAAGGGCGCCACGUGUGGCGCUUUGCGAGUACCUGAAGAAAAAGCAUCGGCUAACUCCGUGCCAGCAGCCGCGGUAAUACGGAGGAUGCGAGCGUUAUCCGGAUUUAUUGGGUUUAAAGGGUGCGCAGGCGGAAUGUAAAGUCAGCGGUAAAAUUUCGGGGCUCAACCCCGUCGUGCCGUUGAAACUGGCGUUCUUGAGUGAGCGAGAAGUAUGCGGAAUGCGUGGUGUAGCGGUGAAAUGCAUAGAUAUCACGCAGAACUCCGAUUGCGAAGGCAGCAUACCGGCGCUCAACUGACGCUCAUGCACGAAAGCGUGGGUAUCGAACAGGAUUAGAUACCCCAGUAGUC